GAUGAACGCUGGCGGCGUGCCUAAUACAUGCAAGUCGAGCGAAUGGAUUGAGAGCUUGCUCUUAUGAAGUUAGCGGCGGACGGGUGAGUAACACGUGGGUAACCUGCCCAUAAGACUGGGAUAACUCCGGGAAACCGGGGCUAAUACCGGAUAACAUUUUGAACCGCAUGGUUCGAAAUUGAAAGGCGGCUUCGGCUGUCACUUAUGGAUGGACCCGCGUCGCAUUAGCUAGUUGGUGAGGUAACGGCUCACCAAGGCAACGAUGCGUAGCCGACCUGAGAGGGGGCUCGGCCACACUGGGACUGAGACACGGCCCAGACUCCUACGGGAGGCAGCAGUAGGGAAUCUUCCGCAAUGGACGAAAGUCUGACGGAGCAACGCCGCGUGAGUGAUGAAGGCUUUCGGGUCGUAAAACUCUGUUGUUAGGGAAGAACUAGUGCUAGUUGAAUAAGCUGGCACCUUGACGGUACCUAACCAGAAAGCCACGGCUAACUACGUGCCAGCCGCCGCGGUAA
rnacentral:rRNA from 1 species